UACGGAGGGAGCAAGCGUUGUUCGGAAUUACUGGGCGUAAAGAGCGCGUAGGCGGUCUAUCAAGUUUGGUGUGAAAGCCCGGGGCUCAACCUCGGAACUGCAUCAAAAACUAAUAGACUAGAGCAUGAUAGAGGAUGGCGGAAUUCCUAGUGUAGAGGUGAAAUUCAUAGAUAUUAGGAGGAACACCAGUGGCGAAGGCGGCCAUCUGGGUCAUUGCUGACGCUGAGGCGCGAAAGCGUGGGGAGCAAACAGG
rnacentral:rRNA from 1 species